AAUUGGAGGGCAAGUCUGGUGCCAGCAGCCGCGGUAAUUCCAGCUCCAAUAGCGUAUAUUAAAGUUGUUGCAGUUAAAAAGCUCGUAGUUGAAUUUCGGGAUCAAUAUUUCGGUCAUGCCGUUGGUAUGCACUGUUAUCAUUGAUUUCUCACCUUCUAAAGAACCGUAAUGCCAUUAGUUUGGUGUUACGGGGAAUUAGGACUGUUACCUUGAAAAAAUUAGAGUGUUUAAAGCAGGCUCACGCUUGAAUACAUUAGCAUGGAAUAAUGAAAUAGGACAUCCGAUUCUAUUUUGUUGGUUUCUAGGAUCGAUGUAAUGAUUAAUAGGGAUAGUUGGGGGCAUUAGUAUUCAAUUGUCAGAGGUGAAAUUCUUGGAUUUAUUGAAGACUAACUACUGCGAAAGCAUUUGCCAAGGAUGUUUUCAUUAAUCAAGAACGAAAGUUAGGGGAUCGAAGACGAUCAGAUACCGUCGUAGUCUUAACCAUAAACUAUGCCGACUAGGGAUCGGAUGAUGUUAAUUUUUUAAUGACCCAUUCGGCGCCUUACGGGAAACCAAAGUGU
rnacentral:rRNA from 1 species